GAUGAACGCUGGCGGCGUGCCUAAUACAUGCAAGUCGAGCGAACGGUCGAGAAGCUGUCUUCUCUGAUUUUAGCGGCGGACGGGUGAGUAACACGGGGAUAACCUACCUAUAAGACUGGGAUAACUUCGGGAAAUCAUGUCUAAUACCGGAUGAUAUUUUGAACCUCAUUGUUCAAAAGUUAAAUACGGUCUUUCGUUCGCUUAUAGAUGGAUCCGCGCUGCAUUAGUUAGUGGGUAGGGUAACUGCUUAGCAAGGCAACGAUGCAUAGCCGACCUAAAAGGGUGAAUGGACAGCCUGGCACUGAGAAACGGCCCACACUCCUACGGGGGGACACAGCAGGGACUCCUACGCAAUGGGCGAAUGCGUAACGGAGCACAGCCGGCUGAGUGAUGAAGGUCUUAGGAUGGUAGAGCUCUGUUAUCAGUGAAGAAGAUAUGUGUAAGUACCUGUGAACAUAUUGACGGUACCUAAUGAGAAAGCCACGGCUAACUCCGUG
rnacentral:rRNA from 1 species